GACCGUCAUGGCUGAGUGGUAAUGCUCGCGACUUUGAUUCGUCAGGUCGUCGGUUCAAGACCCGCUAAAGUCU